GCUUACGGCCAUACCACCUUAAACAACGCCCGAUCUUCUGAUCUCGGAAGCUAAGCAGGGUCGGGCCUGGUUAGUACUUGGAUGGGUGACCGCCUGGGAAUACCAGGUGCUGUAAGCA
ensembl:rRNA 5S_rRNA 5S ribosomal RNA